UACGUAGGGUGCAAGCGCUAAUCGGAAUUACUGGGCGUAAAGCGUGCGCAGGCGGCUAUGCAAGACAGAUGUGAAAUCCCCGGGCUCAACCUGGGAACUGCAUUUGUGACUGCAUGGCUAGAGUACGGUAGAGGGGGAUGGAAUUCCGCGUGUAGCAGUGAAAUGCGUAGAUAUGCGGAGGAACACCGAUGGCGAAGGCAAUCCCCUGGACCUGUACUGACGCUCAUGCACGAAAGCGUGGGGAGCAAACCGG
rnacentral:rRNA from 1 species